CAAUCUCACAAUGAAGAUGAAUCAAUUGUUUCUCAUCACUACCUCAUUGCUUUUUAUAGCAGCUGACCAGAUAGGAGCAGCUAUUGAGUUAAAAUGUGAUGAUUAUCCAAAACUCCCAGACUGCCCAUCACGCUAUGUUCCCUCUGUGGGACAAAUGGAAAGGAUUAUUUAAACCCCUGCUAUUUGUGUCGUCAUAACAAGAAAACCGGACAGGAUGUUGCAAUCUUACACGAAGGAUUUUGUACUUGUCAAGACAUGAAAAUUAAUUAAACUGGAGUUCCAAGUCAAAC